rnacentral:lncRNA from 1 species
CUAGUUAGCUGAUGUGAAUUCCAAGCUACGAACUAAGCGUGGAAUACAAGUAAUAGGAGAUAAGUUUACUGGAGUAGGAUAUAUUAAAGAGCAUGGAAAUAAGGUUACAAAUCUGAAUACACCAGCGAACAUCAAGAAAGUGAUGGAAAGGAAAGAUAAUGGAAAACAGAAGUAUAAGAAAAGGAAUAGAAAGAAGCAUAUGAAAAGGAAAGGAAAUACAAGAAACGAAGAAAAAACGACAUUUUAUUAUGAAAAUAAAAUCAUGGAUGACGCCUUCAUUUUGACUUCACGUUCAACAUGUACAGAUGACCGGGAUUGUGAGAAUGGAAGCCCCUGUGUUUAUAAUAAAUGCAAUUUGUUUUAUAAUCCUGGAUGAUUACAAAAAAAAAUUAUGCUUGUAUUUAUAUAUUUAUCUAUAAUCUAUAGUUUUUAUUUCCGUUGCAUUUGUUUUAAGGUUUUAUUCUAGGGCUUUUCUUUUAUGCAAAACUUAAACCCCAUUCACACCUUUUUACAUAUUUAGA